UACGUAGGGUGCAAGCGUUGUCCGGAAUUAUUGGGCGUAUAGAGCUCGUAGGCGGUUUGUCGCGUCUGCUGUGAAAACUCGGGGCUUAACCCCGGGCCUGCAGUGGGUACGGGCAGACUAGAGUGCGGUAGGGGAGACUGGAAUUCCUGGUGUAGCGGUGAAAUGCGCAGAUAUCAGGAGGAACACCGGUGGCGAAGGCGGGUCUCUGGGCCGUAACUGACGCUGAGGAGCGAAAGCGUGGGGAGCGAACAGG
rnacentral:rRNA from 1 species